UGUUAAAAAGUUAAUCAAUUUUUACUGUUAAUAAUUAGUGUUACUGACGAUAACUAGACAGUUACUGUGGUAUGCCACGUGUACUUUAUGGUAACAUACAAAAACUAAUUUUUAAUAGUAUAAAUAGAUGAAAUUUUUGAUA
rfam:Gossypium hirsutum cultivar TM-1 chromosome 1, whole genome shotgun sequence